UAAUACAGAGGUGCCAAGCGUUAGGCGGAAUCACUGGGCUUAAAGCGCGUGUAGGCGGGUCGUUAAGUGUCUUGUGAAAUCCCACGGCUCAACCGUGGAACUGCUGGGCAUACUGACGAUCUUGAGGCACUCAGGGGCUGUCGGAACAAAUGGUGGAGCGGUGAAAUGCGUAGAUAUCAUUUGGAACGCCAACGGUGAAAACAGACAGCUGGGGGUGUCCUGACGCUGAGACGCGAAAGCCAGGGGAGCGAACGGGAUUAGAUACCCCGGUAGUCCUGGCCCUAAACGAUGUCCACUAGGCCGCGGCGGCUCUGACGCCGUCGCGGCCGGAGCAAAAGUGUUAAGUGGACCGCCUGGGAAGUACGGUCGCAAGGCUA
rnacentral:rRNA from 1 species